rnacentral:rRNA from 1 species
UACGUAGGUCCCGAGCGUUGUCCGGAUUUAUUGGGCGUAAAGCGAGCGCAGGUGGUUUAUUAAGUCUGGUGUAGAAGGCAGUGGCUUAACCAUUGUAUGCAUUGGAAACUGGUAGACUUGAGUGCAGGAGAGGAGAGUGGAAUUCCAUGUGUAGCGGUGAAAUGCGUAGAUAUAUGGAGGAACACCGGUGGCGAAAGCGGCUCUCUGGCCUGUAACUGACACUGAGGCUCGAAAGCGUGGGGAGCAAACAGG